GUGCUUGCUUCGGCAGCACAUAUACUAAAAUCGGAAUGAUACAGAGAAUAUUAGCAUGGCCCCUGCACAAGGAUGACACCCAAAUUCAUGAAGCAUUCCAUAUUUUU
ensembl:snRNA U6 U6 spliceosomal RNA